rnacentral:lncRNA from 1 species
AAAAAAAUGUUUGGAAUUAGUCAAUAUGCGAAACACAUGAUGAAAAAAACUCCAGGUGACUGCACUGGUAGUGCAGCUUUGUACAAACAUUUAUUUUUCCCCAGGAAUGAUGUGUAUUAAGUGAAGCUGGCUGUUCCACUCGCUUUCUUGUUUUGCCCUUUAAGACUCUAUUGUUCAUCUGUUCUGCAAACACUGCAAGGAUCUGUUCUGGUCUGCACUUGUAAGAGUCGCUAGAGGCUCAUUGUCCUGCUGUUGCUCAAAUCGUACUCCUCUGGCUCUGCGGAGUCACAAGGAGGGUUGACUCAUUCGUGGCAGGCCGGGCUGUUUCCUUGCUGAAUAUGUGACAACAUAGACCCGUCCGUGGUUGCAUACAAAGUGGCCAUCAAGAGUGCUUUGGAGACAGUCAGAGAGCCAGGCAGCCCCUGAAGCAGGAGAGCAGCCUAAGGAGGGUGCAGACUGGGGAGAUGUCUUGGGACUGUGUCCCCGGGGGUUCCUGGAGAGAUCCACCUAGAGGAAGCUUUGCAGACCAACUGAAAAAGAGGUGCAGAACAACCUUCAUUUCUCCUUACCCUGGCAAGGACUGGAGUUUGACAGCAUACUGAUGAAAAAAGACAUUAUGUGAAUGACAGAAAAGACAUACAGUAGCAAGGGUGAUCCUAGUACAUACUGAUAUAUACAGAGAGAUAACACAGAACGCCUUCAUUUAAUUUUCUCUUCUGCAAAAGAGAUGGAAUGAGAUGAGUAAAGGAGGUUUUCAUUUCAAGAUACAUGCUAAUUGCCACUCUGCCUCUCAGGAAAACAUCCCAUGAAGAAAAUGCAGCCUUCCCUGAAGAACAGAGAAGACUGCAAAAUGCUGUUCUGAAUUCAUGAGCUUCAUGGUUUGAAGUUUUAAAUU